rnacentral:rRNA from 1 species
UACAGAGGGUGCAAGCGUUGCUCGGAAUCACUGGGCGUAAAGCGCACGUAGGCGGAUUGUUAAGUCAGGGGUGAAAUCCUGGAGCUCAACUCCAGAACUGCCUUUGAUACUGGCGAUCUCGAGUCCGGGAGAGGUGAGUGGAACUGCGAGUGUAGAGGUGAAAUUCGUAGAUAUUCGCAAGAACACCAGUGGCGAAGGCGGACUCACUGGCCCGGUACUGACGCUGAGGUGCGAAAGCGUGGGGAGCAAACAGG